ensembl:lncRNA
UUGAAUGUUAAAUUCAGUAUUUAAUCCAGUAUUAACAAAUAUAUUUCUAUCAAUGUACAGCAAACAGCAAGGAAGUACAAUCUUACGGACAUUUAAGAAAGAGAGAAUUACAGACAGAGAAAAAAAUUAAAUAUACACCUCGACAUGGCCAGGUACAUUUUUUGGUCAUUUUCAAGUACAAUACAUGAAUUGUAUAUAUGACAGCUGUCCAUUUUGAUCUAAGGUAUCUCAUGCACAUUGAUUGACACAUCCACACUGAGCGUGAACGCAGUGAUUCACAUCAGUGUCGACUUGGUCACUCUGAUUAUUGGCACUGGUUGUGGCACACCACUGGACUGAACCAUUACAGAGACACACCGACGCUGAUUAGAAAGGCACUCACAGAAAGCAGAGCCAUGCCUCAUCCCACAGCUAGUGGAUCACCACCACUGAGAGAGAGAGAGAGAGAGAGAGAGAGAGAGAGAGAGAGAGAGAGAGAGAGAGAGAGAGAGAGAGAGAGAGAGAGAGAGAGAGAGAAAUAGAAAAUGCUACUACUUCAUCUUUGAUAAAAAACGCUAAAACCAAAUGAAAUGAUAAGAAAAUGUGCUACAGAUUAGAAAACAACAUCAUAUGCAGAGAAGUGUAACCACACCACAAGUUAAACAGAGGUCUACCUUGACUGAGCUUAAGUCAUGGCUCCGUACAAUCUCACAACCUUAUAUCAAAACUAUUCAAUGCCCAAUUACCUCGUCUCAACACAAAGAAACAUUUCACUGUGAACAAGGACAUUUGACAGUAAUGUUAAAUCAACAAGGCGACACUGAAUAGCAUCUAAAUGAAUGAAUCAAACAUAUUAAAAUGAUAAUCAGCAGUAGCAGUAUCCAAAGCAACGUAGUGUAGGAUCAUUCCAUAUAGGUUGUGUGGAUUAAACAUAAUCCUCUAUUAAUGAACACUAGUUUGAUUAGAGUAACUGAUGGUUCGUGUUCAUGCACAUAAAAGAGAAAUGAACUGAAUACACACACACACACACACACACACACACACACACACACACACACACACACACACACACACACACACACACACACACACACACACACACACACACACAAUCAUCAUCAUCAUCGCUGAAAAAACUUCACUCCUGCAGAAAUUGUAUGGAGCAGAUAUGUGUCAAUGUUCAUCAAUCACCACAACAUAGCUAAAGCUCGCUGAGUCCUACCCCAGACUACAAUUCUAGAUACUAAGGUCCGCUGUACGGUUUAUUGAUCCAUCAAUACUCAUCAGUGCUGAUGCAGGAACAACCUGAUCCUAGAUGUUAAUCUAUUUUACCACCAGUUGUUGGUACGAGUGGUGAAAACGUCUACCAGUUGCUACAGUCCACUGGGUAGGCUGGUUGAUUCAUCUACCCAGCAUGCAUCUGGGGGGACACGCCCAGCUGUGAUGUCACUUAGUCACGGGGCAGGGCUUGUUUAAACGGCUUGUGACGGCUAAUCACACUCGCACCUGGCGGUGAGUUUUUAAAAAUAAUACCAACUGAAAUUAAUAUUUCUUUUACAAAUAGCGGUGCUGCACCCUAAGAUAUCGCGGCCCGUAUUAAUGUACGUUCAAUACGGAAUCGUCCGCCCAACGGAAAACUAACGUUGGGUCAAUCACAGUAGGACAGCUACUGUAUGCCGCUACAACUCGCUCCCAGGACCCUCCCACUUCCAGGAGACGGUCCGGUUUCAGUGAGGGUUAGGGUUGAACCCGUGCCCAAGCUGAAAGAGUCACACACAGACACACACACGGUCUCACCCCUGGUCCCCACCAUGGCUGGACCCCCCCAGGGUGAGAGAGUCACACACAGACAGUCUCAACCUGGUCCCCACCAUGGAUGGACCCCCCCAGGGGUGAGAGAGUCACACACAGACAGUCUCAACCUGGUCCCCACCAUGGAUGGACCCCCCCAGGGUGACGGGAGGAGGAGGGAGGGUCAGCUGGUCGCAGAGGCAGUGUUGUUCAGGUGGAAAGUAACGGCGGAGUCGGUGGGUUCAGCCCAGGAGGGGGAGUCGAGGAGAGGGAGGGAGGGAGGGAGGGAGGGAGGGAGGGAGGGAGAGACAAUAUCAGGGGCUCCCCCAAGAUAUCGGUUCGAGCCAUUUCCACCUGAAAUUGGAUUUGGUGGUAUUCGUUUUUUUUCUUUGUGUGUGGGUGUGUGAGUGUCUAUGUGAGCGUGUGUGUGUGUGUAUGUGGUCCUGCCGUCAACCGUCACUUCCACUGGUGAUAACACUCUCAAGGAUCACACUCUCAAUGAUCACACUCUCAAUGAUCACACUCUCAAUGAUCACACUCUCAAUGAUCACACCAUUAAGGGUCACACUUUUUUACACCUGUCCACUCCUAGGCUACACUGAAACAUUCGUCUGCUGUGGUCUGGGGGAGCCAGGGGAGGCCGGUGCCUUGCUCAUGGGCUGACCGUCAGUGAUGGUAGACCGUAGAGUCAUCACAACAAAGUGUCUCAAUCCCGCAGCAGACUGAGUUGACUGAAGAUGAUGAGACAGGAUAAGAUAUGAGUUUGCAAGUUCCUUCACCUCUUGUCUUGUGGUUCAUGUGAGCACCGCGCUGUGACAGUCCACCGCUCCACUCUUGGAGAUUUGAUAAAGUCUCCAUCAGCCAAGCAGGCUUAGUUAAGACAGUUAGCUCCAUCAGGGGCCCCUCUGAGUUAAGACAGCAGCUCCAUCAGGGGCCCCUCUGAGUUAAGACAUUAGCUCCAUCAGGGGCCCCUCUGAGUUAAGACAGUUAGCUCCAUCAGGGGCCCCUCUGAGUUAAGACAGUUAGCUCCAUCAGGGGCCCCUCUGAGUUAAGACAGUUAGCUCCAUCAGGGGCCCCUCUGAGUUAAGACAGUUAGCUCCAUCAGGGGCCCCUGUGAGUUAAGACAGUUAGCUCCAUCAGGGGCCCCUCUGAGUUAAGACAUUAGCUCCAUCAGGGGCCCCUCUGAGUUAAGACAGUUAGCUCCA